ACUCUCGCGGAAGCCCAAAAGUUGGGGUCUGACCUCACGACCUUGGCCUUCCCGGGGGCGGGAGGCCCUUGGGACAGGACACGCUGCCCCCAGAGUCCGGAGCUCAGGAAAGCGAAGAAAACUGAAACGUGCCUCAUGGUCUGCAGUUUUAGCGGGGUCGGGAUUCCACAGCCCUGGGUGGCACAUGCCGGACAACUUCCCAAAGUCGGGCUCCCGUGUGGGGAGAAAUACACACGCAGGAAUGCACACGCAUCGCGUGUUCGCAACUGUCUCUGGGAGGUCUGGCGGCUGUGAUGGAACAUGCACUCACUCGGGCAACAUGUCCACAGGUGACAUCUAUUCGGUCAGUCAACAGAUACUUAUUGCGCACCUACGACGCUAUCUGGUACUUUCCUUUUCCCCUUAGCUGUUGCUGUCCAGCCCAGCGCCAGUCCUGAGACUGGCUUACCGGCCGCUCCCUUCCACAAGAAACUCGUGUCCGGCGUGAAGAGCGGACGAUAAACACUUUCCAAGCUCAGCGAAAAGUACUAAUUACAGGAGCGGCUGGGAGCCCGGGACACGGGGACCUGUCCCUCCAGGGACUGGAGUCUUCUACCUGCAAGGGACCCGGCCCGGGGAACUGGAAUGGACAAGGGGUAACCCCUUCUCCCAUCACCUCUAAUGAGAACAUUGCCCGAGGCUGAGAUAUUUGGGGGACCCCGCUGCUCACCCCACCAAACUUUCCCUAAGGACAGAAAAGCGUCCCUACUGAAAACGGAUUUAAACACCGUCCCCACUUUCGCUAAGGAAGUUUGGAUAAGGAGGUUGUGGUCCUUAAUUCGCCAGACACAAGUUCCCUCACUGAGCUGCGCAGAGGUGGAUCCGCACAGGAGGGAAUAUCGCGUAGGAAUUCCUGCAAAUAUAAAUCUCAGCAGCAAAGCAGUCCAGAUUGAGUGGAACACACCACCCCCAGCCACCACCAUCCAAGUUUUCCUUGGUUCUCGGAGUUGGAAACAGUUUCUGGGCUUUUGGCGCCCCCUCUGGAUACAUAUAAAAACUGCAGUCCAUUUUUAAGUCGCAUGUUCAUCGUAAGUUUUCAGGAAGAUGUAAAAUUCAAAAAUGCUCGCAUCAAAUCAACGGGAAAUGUAUAAAUCCCAGUCGUUUAUGAUGUGAAACUCUACAUAUUAGUAUCUUAUUGCAUAAUUGCAUUAAAAGUAUA